rnacentral:rRNA from 1 species
AUUGAACGCUGGCGGCAUGCCUUACACAUGCAAGUCGAACGGUAACAGGUCUUCGGAUGCUGACGAGUGGCGAACGGGUGAGUAAUACAUCGGAACGUGCCUAGUAGUGGGGGAUAACUACUCGAAAGAGUGGCUAAUACCGCAUGAGAUCUACGGAUGAAAGCAGGGGAUCGCCAGACCUUGUGCUACUAGAGCGGCCGAUGGCAGAUUAGGUCGUUGGUGGGAUAAAAGCUUACCAAGCCGACGAUCUGUAGCUGGUCUGAGAGGACGAUCAGCCACACUGGGACUGAGACACGGCCCAGACUCCUACGGGAGGCAGCAGUGGGAAUUUUGGACAAUGGGCGCAAGCCUGAUCCAGCAAUGCCGCGUGCAGGAUGAAGGCCUUCGGGUUGUAAACUGCUUUUGUACGGAACGAAAAGCCCUGGGUUAAUACCCUGGGGUCAUGACGGUACCGUAAGAAUAAGCACCGGCUAACUACGUGCCAGCCGCCGCUGUAAUAC